GCCUGGGUGGCUCAGUCGGUUGAGCGUCCGACUUCAGCUCAGGUCACGAUCUCAUGGUUCGUGGGUUCGAGCCCCACAUCGGGCU
rnacentral:tRNA from 1 species